rnacentral:tRNA from 1 species
AGGAGCGUAGCUCAGUUGGUAGAGCAGCGGUCUCCAAAACCGCAGGUCGCGGGUUCGAGUCCUGCCGCUCCUGCCA